rnacentral:rRNA from 1 species
CCUACGGGAGGCAGCAGUAGGGAAUCUUCCACAAUGGGCGAAAGCCUGAUGGAGCAACGCCGCGUGGGUGAAGAAGGUCUUCGGAUCGUAAAACCCUGUUGUUAGAGAAGAAAGUGCGUGAGAGUAACUGUUCACGUUUCGACGGUAUCUAACCAGACAGCCACGGCUAACUACGUGCCAGCAGCCGCGGUAAUACGUAGGUGGCAAGCGUUAUCCGGAUUUAUUGGGCGUAAGGGGAACGCAGGCGGUCUUUUAAGUCUGAUGUGAAAGCCUUCGGCUUAACCGGAGUAGGGCAUUGGAAACUGGGAGACUUGAGUGCAGAAGAGGAGAGUGGAACUCCAGGUGUAGCGGUGAAAUGCGUAGAUAUAUGGAAGAACACCAGUGGCGAAGGCGGCUCUCUGGGCUGUAACUGACACUGAGGCUCGAAAGUGUGGGUAUCAAACAGGAUUAGAUACCCGAGUAGUC